GGAAAGAAGGCAAUGGCGGCGUCCUCGGGAAGGGGGCUGGUCCGCACGGGAAACAGCUUUGGAGGUGGAGCAACCCCAUUACGCUAAAGAUGAAAGGCUGGGGUUGGCUGGCCCUGCUUCUGGGGGCCCUGCUGGGAACUGCCUGGGCUCGGAGGAGCCAGGAUCUACAUUGUGGAGCUUGCAGGGCUCUGGUGGAUGAACUAGAGUGGGAAAUUGCCCAGGUGGAUCCCAAGAAGACCAUUCAGAUGGGCUCUUUCCGAAUCAAUCCAGAUGGCAGCCAGUCAGUGGUGGAGGUGCCUUAUGCUCGCUCAGAGGCCCAUCUCACAGAGCUGCUAGAGGAGGUAUGUGACCGGAUGAAGGAGUACGGGGAACAGAUUGACCCUUCCACCCACCGCAAGAACUACGUACGUGUAGUGGGCCGGAACGGAGAAUCCAGCGAACUGGACCUACAGGGCAUCCGAAUUGAUUCAGACAUCAGUGGCACGCUCAAGUUUGCGUGUGAGAGCAUUGUGGAGGAAUAUGAGGAUGAACUCAUUGAAUUCUUUUCCCGAGAGGCUGACAAUGUUAAAGACAAACUUUGUAGUAAGCGAACAGCUCUCAGAAUCUGUGACUCCCUCACUUGAGAUACAGAUCUAUGUGACCAUGCCCUGCACAUAUCGCAUGAUGAGCUAUGAACCACUGGAGCGGCUCAGACUGACAGGCUUGAUGGAUCACCCCCAGGAGGGGAAGAGGGUGGCAAUGCCUUUUAUAUUAUGUUUUUAUUGAAAUGAACUGAAAAAUUGUGAAACCAAAAGUAUGAACUGUGUUGUCUUUUCAUAUCCAGAAUCGACUCUUACAUUAGGCUUGAAGAUAGGGGAUUCCAGACAGGAAAGACAAGGGAAGGAAGUGCUUUGGAAAUGGUGUAGCAUUUAUUCAGCAUUUGGUCAGUACCUACUCAAUACCAUGUGUUUAGAGUCUAAUUGUGGAGAGAAGAGGAACCUCUGUGAAUAAGCAAGGGAACAUAGAUGGAGGGAUCAGCAAUAGCAGACAGGAAGGGGAAAUGGAUGUGAUCAACUCAUCAGAAAAGUAAGGGCUUUAUAAGAUAGGGAGAGAUGAGGUAAGGAAUGUUAUUUAAUGAAGGCCCUUGCUUGCUGGCCUAAACUUUUAGAUUUGAACCUGCAGCACUAAAGUAUACCUUUCUCAUCUUCAUCUGUCUGUCUGGAUUGUAAGUCUGUCUCCACUUUCUGUGUGUAGAAAUUCGUACUGGGGCAAGGGAUGGAAACCUAAAGGAUCCUUCUUUGAGGAGCUUCUCAAACACCUUGAUCCAGAGGAAUGUCUGUCUCAGGGUUUGGAAUGGAACAUUUCUAUCCCAGGAGUACCUCAGGGAAAGAAUACCUGAAUAAACAUUUUGAAGACUUUUUAAAUUAAGCAUUUUAGAAUCUAAAGGGAAGUUGGAGGUCAUACAGUUCACCUCUGCCCAUUUUACAGAUGAAGAAACUGAGCCCUAGAGAUACGACAGGUUCUGGACCAAUAAACUCAUGUUCCCAAGUGUCAAUCUGAUCUAAUAUAGCUGUAAAGUAGCUUCUGUUUUAAGUCUUUUUUCUCCUAAUACCCUGUACUAAGCCUGGCACACAAAGUGAAUGUGUUCAACAAGUCUUUCUUGUCACAAAUCCUGAGAAAUCUAACACAUGAACUAGUUCAGAGCAAAUAUCCUGAUAUUAGUUGACAACUCAGGCUCUAGUGUUAAUUCCUUCUUCUCUCAUCAGCCAUAAGAAAUGCAGUAUCCUGUCAAGGCUGUUUUCCAGACCAGCUGUUACUAUUUUUUCUUCUGUGAUGCACAUGAAUAAGGUUCACAUUCUUCAUACCCCUGUGAGUAUACCCAGGAUUGUGUCCAUUGACUGCUUCCUGUCUAAAAACUUACUCUUCCAUCAGAAAGUUUAUCAGAAGUGUGAAAGGAUUUACAGGGAACUCGAAAUUGUUUUAAUGUACAGAAAAGCAAAUAAGUCACAAGCUUUAAUAAAAUAAUGUUAGUUGGUAAUAAA